AAUGUUUCAAUUUCGGAGGACUGAUAGUGCUAACACUAACACAAACAGAAAAAUGCCCUCUUCCGGAUUAGCUGAAGAGGCGGCCCUUUUGGGUACUAUGCCUUCUGACAGCAUGGACGACAUUGAGCUGAAGAACAUCCAACUCCAAUUCCCGACUGCCAGAUCAUUAUCCAGGGACGACUCGUCUGUCAUGGAGGAAGUUGUCGAAACAGAUCGUGGAAACGUGGUUGUUGCUGUACAAGGUUCCAGGAAUAAGCCUGCCAUUUUGACGUACCAUGAUCUUGGAUUAAAUUAUGUAUCCAAUUUCCAGGCAUUUUUCAAUUACAUUGACAUGAGAGCUUUAUUGGAAAAUUUCUGCGUCUAUCACAUCAACGCACCAGGACAGGAAGAAGGUGCUCAAACACUUCCAGAAGACUACCUUUACCCAACGAUGGACGAACUUGCUAACCAAGUCUCGUACGUAAUGACCCAUUUCGGUCUGAAACAGUUCAUAGGAUUCGGCGUCGGCGCAGGUGCGAAUAUUCUCUGCCGGUACGCCCUGAAUCGUCCAGAACACGUUUCGGCGCUGUGUCUGGUCAACUGCGCUAGUACUCAAGCUGGUUGGAUAGAGUGGGGGUACCAAAAACUUAAUACUAGACAUCUGCGUUCGAAAGGAAUGACCCAAGGUGUUUUAGAUUAUUUGAUGUGGCAUCACUUUGGUAGGCAAACCGAAGAACGAAACCAUGACCUAGUUCAAGUUUACAAAAGUUAUUUCGAACGAAACGUAAACCCCACCAACUUAGCUCUCUUUAUCGACAGUUACGUCAGAAGGACAGAUCUCAAUAUCCACAGAGAAAUGGAUCCACUCAAAAAGAAGAAUGCUAGCUUAGCGAUGCCUGUGAUGAAUAUAACUGGCUCUAUGAGUCCUCACAUGGAGGAUACUGUCACGUUCAAUGGAAGACUUGAUCCAACUAACUCAUCUUGGAUGAAGAUUUCUGAUUGCGGUAUGGUAUUAGAAGAACAACCGGCGAAAGUUAGCGAAGCAUUUAGAUUAUUCCUACAGGGCGAAGGAUACGCCGUACAAGUCGGGCGUCGAAGAUCUAGCUGUUUAUCAGUCGAAGGUAAAUCCUAAAAACGUGUGCAAUGGGCCUAAAAAACUUAACUUAAGUAGGGCCAUAACUGUUUUUCUUCCCAUUCGCUCCUUUGUCUCCAACCAAAAUGGCAAUGUUUCGUAAAGCUUCUCUAGAGGAAUUGCUCAAGUCAAAGAUGUCACCCACCGGGCAGUGGCCUGCAAGUAUCAUUCAUAUCACAGAAAAUCCUAUAUCAG
rnacentral:misc_RNA from 1 species